rnacentral:rRNA from 1 species
GGAAACUGGGAAACUUGAGUGCAGAAGAGGAGAGUGGAAUUCCACGUGUAGCGGUGAAAUGCGUAGAGAUGUGGAGGAACACCAGUGGCGAAGGCGACUCUCUGGUCUGUAACUGACGCUGAGGAGCGAAAGCGUGGGGAGCGAACAGGAUUAGAUACCCUGGUAGUCCACGCCGUAAACGAUGAGUGCUAAGUGUUAGGGGGUUUCCGCCCCUUAGUGCUGCAGCUAACGCAUUAAGCACUCCGCCUGGGGAGUACGGUCGCAAGACUGAAACUCAAAGGAAUUGACGGGGGCCCGCACAAGCGGUGGAGCAUGUGGUUUAAUUCGAAGCAACGCGAAGAACCUUACCAGGUCUUGACAUCCUCUGACAACCCUAGAGAUAGGGCUUUCCCUUCGGGGACAGAGUGACAGGUGGUGCAUGGUUGUCGUCAGCUCGUGUCGUGAGAUGUUGGGUUAAGUCCCGCAACGAGCGCAACCCUUGAUCUUAGUUGCCAGCAUUCAGUUGGGCACUCUAAGGUGACUGCCGGUGACAAACCGGAGGAAGGUGGGGAUGACGUCAAAUCAUCAUGCCCCUUAUGACCUGGGCUACACACGUGCUACAAUGGACAGAACAAAGGGCUGCAAGACCGCAAGGUUUAGCCAAUCCCAUAAAUCUGUUCUCAGUUCGGAUCGCAGUCUGCAACUCGACUGCGUGAAGCUGGAAUCGCUAGUAAUCGCGGAUCAGCAUGCCGCGGGUGAAUACGUUUCCC